UAACUGAAAAAGAAAAAGGACCAUUUUAACCCCCCUCAUCUUUUCUGCAGUAAUGAAGUGUGGGCCUCUGUUCUCUGAUGGAACCCUCCAGAACCUGUCCAUCCAGUUCCACCUUGAAUGUGGCUUCACCUCUCUGACCUACUAUGAGAACAACCCAGCCAAGGAGCACUUCCAACGGGCCAAGGAACUCUCCUAACUGGCCUAGAGAUGAACAUGAUAGUGCUCUGGGCAAACGGACUCGCUUCCAGCAGAACUUCCUUGCCCAGCUGAUCCUGGAUGUCAAGAGUAAGGAGGAUACCCCAGCUCCCGAGCUAGACGUUGAGCUGACCCUCUCCCCCACCCCACUGGCCUGCCUGCCCAAGUGCAUACUAUCUCAGCCCUGGUGACGGCGCUGUGUCUAAGGACCAACCUCGAGAGGGGCAGCUCUCGACGGGUGGAGAGGGCCAUGAUGCAGACACAGACUAUAGUGGAUUGCUUUGAGGAGAAGAGCUGUCCUUGUCACGGAGCGUCUGAAACUCUUCUACUGCUGCCGGGCUCCUCCCAGGAGCAGCUGGCCAACCUGCUGACAGACCUGGGCUGCACCAGCUCAGCCCUGCUAAUCUACGAGAAGCUGGAGCUGUGGGAGGAUGCUGUCAUCUGCCUGGAGAGGAUGGGCCAGCAUGGCAAGGCGGAGGAGACCCUGCGUAGGGAGCUGGAGAAGGAGUCCCUCAGUCUGUACUGCUUGCUGGGGGACGUGCUGCGGCACCACCAAUACUACAACCAGGCCUGGGAGCUGUCGAACCAUCGCAGCGCACGUGCCAUGCGCUCCAAGGCCCUGGUGUACCUCCGGGCCAAGGACUUCCAGCAGUGUGUGGAGUGCUUCGAGAAGUCACUCCGCAUCAACACCAUGCAGAUUGGGGUGUGGUUCUCUCUGGGCUGUGCCUACUUUGCCCUGGAGGGAGCUGCCAAGGCCUUCCAGACGUUUGUGGGACUGGAGCCAGAUAACGCAGAGGCGUGGAACAACCUCUCCACGGCCUACAUCCGCCUGAGACAGAAGACCAAGGCGUUCCACAACCUGCAGGAUGCUCUGAAAUGUAACUACGAACACUGGCAGGCAGACCUGGGAGAACUUCAUUGCCGUCUGCACCGACGUUGGAGAGUUUGCAGAGGCCAUCAAGGCCUACCACCGCCUCAUGGACCUGAGGGACAAAUUCAAGGAUGUACAGAUUCUAGAGUUCCUGGUGCGGGCGGUGGUGGAGGACAUGACGGAUAACCAUGGCGACCAGGCCUCGUCCCUGCGGGCCAAGGUCCAGGAGCUCCUGGGUCGCGCACGUCCCGCCAUAGCACCGACGCUGAGAUCUGGCGUCACUACGCCCUGCUGUAUGGAGACAGACAGAGCACCAGGCCUGGUGACAACGAGCGUUGCAUUUCCUGUCCAAGGCCCAUCGCUGUGAGGUCCAGGCCAGAGGCUGGGAGAAAGACACUGGGACCUUCAAGGAGGUUAUAAAGAGAGCCAUAGAUCUGGCCAACGGUUAUUGGGUCAAGCCGCGCGGGGAGGAGAUAUGAUCGAUGGCAGCCACGAGAAGAGUAAAAAGAAGACGAACAAAUCCGUCUUACCCCACUGCCCUCUGCGAAACGCAAUCGCGAUCCAAACAAUUACUCUGCGAGUUAGUGUGGAGGCAAGGGGGUUGGGAGAUGGAGACAGCAGGAAGGAUGGAGGAGAGUGUCCUAUAGAAGAACUUCAAUAAAGUUGUUAAUCUCAAAAAUCCCCAGGUUUUUCAUUACAGCCGGAUGCUGUUUUGAAUUAAACAUCAGAGGGAGUCAGGGCACCGGGACAACACGGGAGGAAUAGCAAUGUGCAUUCUCCAACACAUCUCUGGGGUUGAUGCUGUCGCUAGGGCUCAUCUUCACUCAGGUCACACACCUUGUCCCUCACAGACACUUACCUUACACCCCACACAUACACUUCAUUCCUCACGCACACCAUUACACACACACACACACACACACACACACACACACACACACACACACACAGGUUGUGGUGUGAAUCCCAAAACCCUCCCAUAUGCUGCCCCUGUGUCCUUCAGAAAAGCACAAAGCUUUAUAAAGAGAUACAGGUUGUGGUAGAGUGCCCCCUUUACCACAGCCCCCUCACUCAACUCAGCUUUGUAACCUCUAUGAUGGGCCUGGACACUUCAUCCACAGAGCUGAGAGGGAUGCGAAAAAAUAAAGUGAUGAGAACGAGGAGGAGGGUAGAGCAGAAGAGGUCUUCAUCCAUAAAUCAUGCUGUUUUGACCUUUCGCGCUGUCGCGGCUGAAGAAGACCAUACAGGGAAAAGGUGUAGCUCAGAUAGAGUAGAAGAGACCGCCGCUUGUUUUCCCUUCCUCAUGUGCAAGAAGAAGAUAAAAGGUGUUGGAAAAACACCAGGACAAAAGACUGUGGCGAUGGGGAAAUAGCCUAUCAAUAUCCUCACCGGUCUCAGGAACAUGGCUUUGUGUUGGUAUGUUUUUCAAAGCAGCACAGAAUAACAGAUUCUUCUGAGCUUUAUUCAUCAUUUUGUGUGGAUCAUAGCUACCAUAGAUAAGGUGUUUGUUGAAAUUGGUACAAUUCUACAAAAGAAUGAAUGGUGUUUCAUCACGCUGAAUGAAUAUUCACUGUGAUGUCCUCUGAAAAAUGAAGUAGAGGCGUUACAGAGGACAUUUUGAUCACGUUAUCUCGGACAGUGAUCACAGGAGUGAUUAAACAGGCAUUGUGGAAAAAGGUCUUGGUCUAAUGAUUUAUUUUCGAGCUGCCAGGCCUGUCACGGUGGGGGUGAACGGUGAAGUGUCUUUCGGCGUAACGAGAUGAGACCCACUGAAUGGAGUCACUGACUGCAGGCCUGAGAAAUCACCCUGAGGGAGGUGGAACCCUCAUUAACCAGUCCCAGGAGAAAUGACUCCUCUCCUCAACCUUUCCGCACAUGUGCAGUAUAACCCACAGUCCUGUGUCUAUAUGGGACCUGUUAGUCAUGCAUAGGUCCAUGGUGCCACAGUGUCUCACCAGGGCAGGCAGGGCCAUGGCCCCUGGACCCCGAACCAGAAACCCCUGAUCUCUCCCCUCCUGACCCUUCCAUGGUACCCCAUGCAUGAUGGUUGGUUGUCUCUCCCUCUAGCAAUCACUCAUUUUGAUACACAACUUACGUGCUUUGUCUUUUAAUCACAAAUAUUUACGUGCUAAUAGGUCUUUUCGGUCUCUAUUUCUCACAUGUAUGUGUUCACAGUGACCCUCAGCUGUAGUAAAAAGAAGAGCAACCCCCAGGAGUCAUUGCAGAUGUUGUCCUCCAUUCAUCUCGCCACCAAAGAGAAGCAACUGCACGCAGAUGUCGCAACUGGCGAGAUCCAUGGCGACCUGAGUGAUGAUGUCAAAGAGCUUGAGCAACUUAUCACAGAGCUGCAGGGGCAAAGUGGUUCGCUGCGCACAGAAUCAGCAUGAAUGCCUCGCUAUAGACACACCUCUAAGGACUCUAAAGACCUCCUACAGCAAACUUGUCCCAGAGCAGACAUGGCUACAAGGGACACUGUCAGGGGACCUGCACCCAUCACCCUCUUCCUUGCCAAGGGGACUUUACAUGCUUUUACAGUUCAUGUGACUGUAAAAAAAUAAAGAAUAACUUAACUGGAUACAUUUGUAUGUACAAAGUGUAAUUUUGUAUAGUUCCCCCUUGAGGUAUGUGCUAUUUGUUGUAUAAAGCAUGGUUGAGGAAUUGCUAGCUCAAUCAUGUUAUGAACUUUACGGAAUCUAAAGAAAUCACAACAUUUCUACAAUCAUAUAUUGUACAAAGAUGAAGCUUUAUGAUCAUACAACCACGCUUGCCUUAUUGUUAGUAUGUACUAGUCAUAACCCACUCCCCCCCCCCCCCCCAAAAAAAAAAGCCGGACUCCCCCAGGCGCAGUGAGAGCUUUGCAGAGGAGAAAUGUAAGCAUGUGGGCCAAAUAUAAGAGCGGUGCAGAGAUGCACAACAGGAGAGUGUGGACACACUCAUCACCAGGGAAGCAGUGGGCCAUGAAAGUGUCAUCCCACCUGGCCUCGCUCACACAGAACAGACACCAUGGAAGAAGAACAGACUCUGCACAGCUAACUCAUCAUCAUGCUCGGGGCUACAGACAGAGAUCCUACUAUCUUCUCCUCAUGGGGUUUCUCUCCGAAAGGAAAAUGACCUUGACAUUGCCUUUGUUUUAUCAUACUUAUUGUUUUAUUGCUAUCGUACAGGUUUUUUCUUUGUCUAUGCCUCUUUGUCAAGGACUGUCUCUGCCUUGCUUUGAAGUAAAGGCCCACAGUGUGGGGGACUGAUAAAGGAGAAAAUUACUUUUAUACGAGUAGAUAUGUACAUGUGUUAUGUCACAGCUGUAGUCCUCUUUCAUGAAUGUUAUUAGUUUUUUACCGAUGUGGUGAUAAUUUCCGGAUUGGGAAGGAAGUGUGCAUCACCCUUAAUGUAUACAUUCCAUCUUUUCCACAGUUUUUGAUCAGUUUUUGCAUACCAAACCAAUAAAAAUGUGAA